rnacentral:rRNA from 1 species
GACGGAGGGUGCUAGCGUUGUUCGGAAUUACUGGGCGUAAAGGGCGCGUAGGCGGCCCUGUCAGUCGGGUGUGAAAGCCCGGGGCUCAACCCCGGAACGGCACCCGAGACGGCAGGGCUGGAGACCGGGAGAGGAGGGUGGAAUAGCCAGUGUAGAGGUGAAAUUCGUAGAUAUUCGCAAGAACACCAGUGGCGAAGGCGGCUCACUGGCCCGAUACUGACGCUGAGGUGCGAAAGCGUGGGGAGCAAACAGG